AUAGAAAGCUGGGGGCCGGCCUAACACAAGGAAAUCUCACGAGUGGCGGACGGGUGAGUAAUGUCUGGGAAACUGCCCGAUGGAGGGGGAUAACUACUGGAAACGGUAGCUAAUACCGCAUACCAUCGGAUGUGCCCAGAUGGGAUUAGCUAGUAGGUGGGGUAACGGCUCACCUAGGCGACGAUCCCUAGCUGGUCUGAGAGGAUGACCAGCCACACUGGAACUGAGACACGGUCCAGACUCCGACGGGAGGCAGCAGUGGGGAAUAUUGCACAAUGGGCGCAAGCCGGAUGCAGCCAUGCCGCGUGUAUGAAGAAGGCCUUCGGGUUGUAAAGUACUUUCAGCGAGGAGGCGUUACUCGCAGAAGAAGCACCGGCUAACUCCGUGCCAGCAGCCGCGGUAAUAC
rnacentral:rRNA from 1 species